AUAUCAGGGUGUCUUUAGAUUAAAUUGUGUUACGUGCACAAUUUUUGAUAUUUGCGCAGAAGUUUUGAUAUUACGUCAGAAGUGUAUGUUUGAAACCUUAAAAUUUAUGUUAAUUACAUUUACAUAUUUAUCUUCAUGCUCAUUAUCAUAAUAAUACUCGUAUUAUUUUCACUUUACUUUCAUAAUUAUCGCCUGUUUUAUAUGCAGUACGCUUCAGAGAGAAAAAUUAUCUCUUUUUAUAUAUUAUUAGUUUCAUUUAAAAUUAAUCUAAAUUUGACGAUAUUUUAAAAUGCAGAUUGUUUUAAAAAAGUAAGUAGGAAUUUUUUGACACGUGCUUUCGGAUUUGAUUAAUUUAUUUCUACAUUGUUCGUCGCAGUGUCACAUUAAAAUAAUUUAAUUGAAAACGACUGCCCAAGGUGAAAUCUAAGAAUUACGAGGACAUAGGAAAUCGAUUGAGUUUUUACAUCCCUGCUUGUUUAAAAGUACACGCUUUUAAAUGUAUGCUUUCAUAAAGAGCUUUUACGAAGGGAAAAGUUGACUUAUUGGAUAUCCUCACGCUAGCAUUUUGUUUGCUGAUCCACUUUUUUCUCGACAAGACUAUAGUUAUUUGUUUUUAGAGAAGUACAGUAUUUGAUUACUCGGCAAAAAUAUUGUCUAUCAGUGAUAACCGACGAAAUUUGUGUGCAAUAUGAAUGAUGUGAGUCUCGAUGAGGCGCGAGGAGUACAUGCUUUUUGACCUAUUCAAACUUUUCUUGAUUUAGAAACGAAAAUAGAUGUUUUGCAUGAUAGAAUGAUUGCCACGUGUGUGUGUAUACUUUGGUAAUAUUUUUCCCGUGCCUGGCGUAACGUCAAGAUAAACGAAUCGAUGAUCAUUAAGUAUACCAGCAACAUUCCUAUAAGUCGACUAGUUAUAAAACCGCAUUACGUCCAACGCUUAAAAAUAGCAAUCUAACUCGGAAAGUAUUAUAUAGAAGUCAGAAACAAGAAUCAUACUAUUGUAUUCGAGAAUUGUAAGCAUUCUUAGCCACUUGGCGAAUCUCAAUUCAGUCAGUCUUUGCAAAGAAAAGUAUUCAAGAAAUGUUUUUAUAGCGAAUUAUAGUAUAGUACAAAUAUAGUAGAUAAGUAUAACUUAUAUGAAAAACAACAUUUGAAGAAAUUACUGUAUUUCUUAAUAUUUAAUCGUAAUAUAAUUUUUUCAGUGUUUUAUUUAAUAUGUUAUGCGGUAACGUCAACUAUAGUUUGAUCUAAUUACUUAAUUAAAGGUUUAACGGUGCUUAUAAAGUGCUUUCGAAUUUUUAGGCAAAGCCAUAUUGAUCUCCUACUUUCAACCGUACAUGGAAACAAUAAGUUAUUACAACGUAAACAACGAAAGUAGUUCCAUCAUUUCUGCAUCCUUGAAUCCUGCUAUGAAUACAGCAUUUUUGGGUCUUACGUCAGUGCUUUACUGAGCCGUAUUCUUGGAUGUUUUGAUCCUUAGAUCGACAGGUCCAUAUAUCUUUAGAAUGUGCCAGUUUCUCAUAUGGAGACUUUGACUCAUGCUCGACUGACUUUAUUUUUAGAGUUUUCAUGAAGGCGAUGACGAGUGCGUGCAAAUGACCUGUGCGUGUACAGUCGUACCACGGUAUCAGUUGCGUGUAUCAACUUAUCGUUCAAGAUAAAUGACCACAUGACAGGAUCAUUAUCUAGAAAUGGGCGACCUGUUAGAAUCCUGCAAUGACGAAAAAUAACAAAUGUGAGAUGACAUGUAACAUACAUAUUCAAGGGAGAAUCGGUGUGUUUGGAUCUUAAGGAAUUGCAAUUUACGUUCAUUGAUCAACCAAGUGACUAGAAUUUAUGUUUCUAGAGCAGUUAUAAUGGCAAUACGUAGAUGCACCGGCUUUUUUGUAGAUCUCGUAUAUCAGCUUUCCAUGUUAAGAUUCCGCUCGAUUAACAUUGAACUUGUCAAAGUUAAAAAGAAACGAAAUUAAAGUUGUUAUCAUACAAAGUAUAUCAAGGAGCUAAAUAUAAAUUCCAGAAAAAAGAUUAAGAACUUUAAUUUCUUCUCUUUAUGUACGUAUUUUCAGAAUGUAUAAUAUUUUCUUUAUAAAAUAGAAAAUAAGAAACGUGAAUUGAGACGGAAAUAUAAAAAAUAUGAUUUAUACACGGGACAAGUUUUACUAAAAAUACUGAAAUAUUUCAGAUCUAAACUGGAUAAGUCAGAGACGUGCGGCUUGCAAAAUACAUCGCUAGGUACAGAUCUUAAAAAUACAUGUGCGAAAGCUCCACCUAAAAUAAGAGAUGAAGCGGACCGAAGCAGCAUUUGUAGUCACGGGUCGGCAUCUAUAAAAGCGCACACGGUCGAUGUAGCAUUAUCACCCGUAAAAAAUGCAAUACCCGCCGUACUGUAAUACUCGUAACAUCAUAAGCUCCUCGGUUUGUCCACAUUUCGUGUCCUCCUGCCUUACUUCCGUCCGUGAAGGAUAUUGAAGCGUAAAACGAGGACGGUGAACUUUUCGACGCUUAUUGCAAGCUUCAAUCAUCUUUAACGCACGAGGAACAAUUCCCGCGAACAAUAGGACUGACACAAAGUUAACGUUUCGUUGAGGGAUCGUCGGUUAUCGUGCACCCGUGACUAAAAUCGAAAAGCAGGCCAUGCAAUAAGUGCAUCGCGUGAUUCGCACUAAUAAGCCGGGCGGCUGCUUAAAAUUCCAGCGAGAUUUCGGCGAUAAGGACGUCGACAAGGAAAGCCGAAUUUUCCAUCGCUGGUUUUUCCAUUGCACGAAAAGUGACACAGGAAAACUGCUCUAUUUCUGCCGCGCCGCGCCGCGACACGCGAGCCUUCGUGACUUUUCAAAGAUCACAUGGACGCUUCGCUGCGUGACUACGCCGGAGUAAGACACUUUAUGCAUUUAUUUCGUUGUAAUAACCGUAUUUCAAAUACAAUGUGCGUGUAUAUCGCGUAAUCGUAUCUGUGCGUCAUAAAUCAUCGCAAAAUGUUGGACUGCAAACUGAAGAGGAACGAUUCCAAUCUUAUUUGUUAAUCAUAUCUCUUCCUUACAUUUUUAUUUCUAAUUUUGCUGAAUCAUUAACUUGAAAUUUGCCCAAUUUUUCUUAUAAUAUUAUUCGUCCUCUUUGACUCACGCCAUUCUUGAAGUUCUAAAAUGUUUGAGAACUUAAAAAUUAAUAAUUUUAUAUCUCUUAUCAUCUCGAAUUUCGGUCUCUACAAUUUCUCAUAUCAUUCAUCACAAAGGUCUGAUAAAGAACACUACAUUUUAAUCAUCUCAAUCGCAGCGUGAUUAAGAAGAUCAUGUAUUUAAAGUAAUCACGGGCUCGACUUUCUUGGCAAUCCUUGACAUUUUUCGGAUCAACGAUGGCGCAAUUGUUAUUUAUUGCCAACGUAAUUACAGUGUGAUUAUAGCGUGAUGCUUAUCGAUGCUGCAGGCGUAUUGCAAUAGGAGCAGGCAAUAUCUCAAGCCUGAGCGCGAUUGAAUUCAUCCUUGUGACACGUAUCCAUUACACGGCAGUAACUGAUUGUAGCAGCGUACAAAAGACGCAUCCAUCAUGUUUCAACGUUCCCGCGAUAAGAUGAUCCAAGUGUCAUACAAGUUGAUCAUCUUGCAUCAUUACAUUCUGCCCUCAUCGGGGAACAUGAGGGUCUAUCAUCGAUCAGCUGGCUUAUAAGCCAGCGAGUAGCUGUGCACCGUUAAAUCGCGAUCGAUUCUCCGAGACUGGUGCAAGUUUUGCAGUUCAAGGCGAUAACACGUCUAUCUUUUUUGCGCCCGCUCAUGAAAUGGGAAGGCGUCGUUGUUGCAGCUGGUGCACUCGCACGUUUAAAGAGCGACCAAUCCCCCGCACGCCACUGAUUCGACGCCAGGACUCGAAGCUUGCGCUCGUUUCAAAACUACAGUAUGUAAGCGCAGCGACUAGUUAUCGCACCGGAAUCGCGUAUACGUAAUGCGGUCUCGUCCUAUAAAAGCGUCAACUCGGUCGACGGGUGCAACGUUUCCCCCGGCGAACUUCGAUACUUAAUUGCCUGCCUAUGUAAAUCAAUCCCGCUCGUAUUUAAUCUGCCGACUGCACGCCGGCUAUUGCCGUUCAUUCUCGCUUAUUUGAUUUCAACUCGCGUUCUAGCUUUUCUCCUCGAUCCACACAGUAAAUCCUUAAACCCUGGACGCGCUUUAGUAACCGAAAUGCGGUUCCGUGUGUAUUCGUUUCGCACAUUUUGUAAAGUUUAAUAUAAACAAAAAACUUCUAUAAUAAUAAAUAUAAGUAGACUUCUUUCAUUGCGAUAUAUGUAGUAUUUGCAUAAAUUAAAAUGCCUGAAAACGAAAUCUUUGCCAAUUAGUUUAGCCAAAUCUGAGAAACUUUAAUGUUACAAUUUGAAUGCUAUAAUACCACAUAAUGAAACAUUGAUUAUAUGAACCAUAUAAUGAUCAUAUGCGCAUAGGACACUUUCGCGCAUGAAUAACAAUCUUUUUUCCUUUUUUUCAUUAAGUAUUUAUAGCUACAGUAAAUAUUUUCAUGUGCGCAUUCGGCAGUCGAGUUUAUUUUCGGCUAAGUUGGCAUUAUUAGCGAUUUUAUAUCCGAAUAUACGUAGUGCGAAAUCGUAAUCCUCGUCCCGGCGGGCCUGGAGCAUAGGAGCUCAAGCGUCAAAAUUUAUCGCCGGCUUCUACACUGCGUCUCCGCGCUGAAGAUGAUCGUAUAAAUUUCUGAUAAACUGCUAUUAGCCGUAUGGGACUUUUUCACGGAGAAAAUUUAUGGUCUCUCUUCUUUCCAUCGAGAACAGAUAAUGUUUCCUAUGCUUAUUAUUAUUAUAUGGUUUCAAAUAAACCUGGAUAAUUUAAUGUUAAAGUCAAUUAAUUUAAAUAUAUAUUAAUUCGAUUUAUAUAAAUCUGGAAGACGAUAAUAAAUACUAUAUAUUUAUAUGUAUUAGAACAAUACUUUAUCUAUAAUGGUAGAAAGUUAUUAAAUCAAUACAUUAAAAUAGCGAUAUAUAGAAUAGAGCCAAUAUGUCAGACUCAAUCCGGUAAACCUAGUAAACACGUGUAUACGUAACUUUCCGAAACGAGUAAAAUAAUAAACUUGAUGAUGCGCGAC